rnacentral:tRNA from 1 species
GCUGCCGUAGCUCAGUGGUAGAGCACUCCCUUGGUAAGGGAGAGGUCGUGCGUUCAAUCCGCACCGGCAGCACCA